GUCUGCAACUCGACUACAUGAAGCUGGAAUCGCUAGUAAUCGCAGAUCAGAAUGCUGCGGUGAAUACGUUCCCGGGUCUUGUACACACCGCCCGUCACACCAUGGGAGUCGGAAAUGCCCGAAGCCGGUGACCCAACCAAAAGGAGGGAGCCGUCGAAGGCAGGUCUGAUAACUGGGGUGAAGUCGUAACAAGGUAUC
rnacentral:rRNA from 1 species